UCGACACACACACAAGAAACAAUGAUUUCUCUUAUACUAAUGCUGGGUACACUGGGUCUGCUUGCUCAAGUGUCUCAUGAAGAGGUUCAGUCUCCUGAGUCUCUGUCUGCUAAAACAGGAGAUUCUGUCUCUAUCAGCUGCACUGGGACCAGCGGAGUUGGUGAUGACAUGAGCUGGUAUCUGCUGAAACCUGGAGAAGCUCCUAAACUCCUGAUAUAUGGAGCCAGUGAACUUGAAUCUGGAGUCCCAGAUCGGUUCAGUGGAAGUGGAUCUGAACCUGAUUUCACACUGAACAUUCGUGGAGUCCAGCCUGAGGACGCAGGAGUUUAUUACUGUAUGGGGUAUUAUAGUGGUGGAGUGUGCACACAGUGAAACACCAUCGUACAAAAACCUCCCUCAGUCAGACAGCAAAGAGAAUAUGAGAAUAAUUUCAGGCAAGUUUCCCUGUAUAAUUAAACAACAGUUAAAGCAGUAAUGAAGAUUUUCUAAAGUAUUCAACAAUUUGUUCACUUAAAAUGUCAUUUUAGAUUUCAGUGAAAUAAAUGAAAUGUUGAGCAUAAUUUUGUACAGAAGCUUAUGCUUAAAGGCUGGAAUCAUAAGAGUUAUUAUCUGCAGCAUGAAAAUA